AUUGAACGCUGGCGGCAGGCCUAACACAUGCAAGUCGAACGAGUGGCGGACGGGUGAGUAAUGUCUGGGAAACUGCCUGAUGGAGGGGGAUAACGACUGGAAACUGUCGCUAAUACCGCAUACCAUCGGAUGUGCCCAGAUGGGAUUAGCUAGUAGGUGGGGUAAAGGCUCACCUAGGCGACGAUCCCUAGCUGGUCUGAGAGGAUGACCAGCCAAACUGGGACUGAGACACGGUCCAGACUCCUACGGGAGGCAGCAGGGGGGAAGAUUGGACAAUGGGGGCAAGCCUGAUGCAGCCAUGCCGGGUGUAUGAAGAAGGCCUUCGGGUUGUAAAGUACUUUUAGCGGGGAGGCGGUACCCGCAGAAGAAGCACCGGCUAACUCCGUGCCAGCAGCCGCGGUAAUUC
rnacentral:rRNA from 1 species